rnacentral:lncRNA from 12 species
GGUAAGAGCGGAGUAGCUGAUGCUUCUGAGCUCAGGAGGGGGUUAGAACCCAGCACUCCCCCAUGCUGCUUUCUCACAUUGCCUCAAUGUUUCCCCCAUUUCUUCUCCUUUCUGUCUGUAUCUUGACAUUGGUGCAUCAUGUUUUCAGUCACCACUGACAAAGCCUGAAGCUGGUGGGGUGCCAGGGCCACCCAGGAUCUGAUGGUAUGAAUGGCCGCCAAGAUCAAUACCAGGAGAACUGCUGCCAUCCACAUCCACAGACGCAGGUUUGAAUCAAUGGGAACUUCGGAAAUCAUUGCAGACCACUAACAUCAUUGGUGUGACAGACUUCUGAUCACGAGGUGGUCCAAGGAGGAAAGAAAGAAAUUAACAGACAAAAUUCAGAUGAGAACCAGUCUUUUCCUCCUGGAGUCCAGAGAGUUACACAGGUACCCGUGGUUGAAUGCGGCCAGAAGCCGAAGCCGAAGCCAAAGAAUGCGGCCAGGAUCAUCCGAAGCAGGUGAUCCUCCUUCGGAUGCAUCAUUGAGUCAACAGCAGCCUAACCGUACAUCGCAUGCCUGUGUCACUCACCUCACUUCUUAUCACGGGGACAUUCGGUCACCCACACCAUCACCACAAGAAGAAGGGUGAGCUCAGUACAAGAAGAUAUUUUGAGAGAGGGAGACUGAGAGCACAUUCCCGUUACUUUUAUUAUAAUAUAUUGUUAUAAGUAUUCUAUUCUUUAUUAGUUACUGCUGCUAACCUCUCCCUGUGCCUAAUGUAUAAGCGUCACUUUGUCACAGGUGGGUAUGCAUAGGUACAAAUAAAGCAUAUGUUUGGUACUAUGUGUGAUUCGGG